GAUGAACGCUGGCGGCGUGCCUAAUACAUGCAAGUAGAACGCUGAAGGAAGGAGCUUGCUCUUUCCGGAUGAGUUGCGAACGGGUGAGUAACGCGUAGGUAACCUGCCUGGUAGCGGGGGAUAACUAUUGGAAACGAUAGCUAAUACCGCAUAACAGUAGAUGUUGCAUGAUAUCUACUUAAAAGGUGCAAUUGCACCACUACCAGGUGGACCUGCGUUGUAUUAGCUAGUUGGUGAGGUAACGGCUCACCAAGGCGACGAUACAUAGCCGACCUGAGAGGGUGAUCGGCCAAACUGGGACUGAGACACGGCCCAGGAUCCUUCGGGAGGCAGCAGUAGGGAAUCUUCGGCAAUGGACGGAAGUCUGACCGAGCAACGCCGCGUGAGUGAAGAAGGUUUUCGGAUCGUAAAGCUCUGUUGUAAGAGAAGAACGAGUGUGAGAGUGGAAAGUUCACACUGUGACGGUAUCUUACCAGAAAGGGACGGCUAACUACGUG
rnacentral:rRNA from 1 species